rnacentral:rRNA from 1 species
AGAUUGAACGCUGGCGGCAGGCCUAACACAUGCAAGUCGAGCGGUAGAGAGGUGCUUGCAUCUCUUGAGAGCGGCGGACGGGUGAGUAAUGCCCAGGAAUCUGCCUAGUGGUGGGGGAUAACGUUCGGAAACGGACGCUAAUACCGCAUACGUCCUACGGGAGAAAGCGGGGGACCUUCGGGCCUCGCGCCAUUAGAUGAGCCUAGGUCGGAUUAGCUAGUUGGUGAGGUAAUGGCUCACCAAGGCGACGAUCCGUAACUGGUCUGAGAGGAUGAUCAGUCACACUGGAACUGAGACACGGUCCAGACUCCUACGGGAGGCAGCAGUGGGGAAUAGUUGGACAA